rnacentral:rRNA from 1 species
UACGUAGGGCGCAAGCGUUAUCCGGAAUUAUUGGGCGUAAAGAGCUCGUAGGCGGUUUUUCGCGUCUGCCGUGAAAGUCCCGGGCUUAACCCCGGAUCUGCGGUGGGUACGGGCAGACUAGAGUGCAGUAGGGGAGACUGGAAUUCCUGGUGUAGCGGUGAAAUGCGCAGAUAUCAGGAGGAACACCGGUGGCGAAGGCGGGUCUCUGGGCUGUAACUGACGCUGAGGAGCGAAAGCGUGGGGAGCGAACAGG